GAUUUCAACUGAAAAAGUUAUCAACAACAAAGUUGAAUAACUCAUCAAGAUCUAAAACUUUUAUUUUGGUCAUUUUUUCAUUUGAUAAAGUAAUAGUAACAUUGUUCACAAAAUUGACAUAUCUCUUAUCUGGUUUUAUAAACUAUAACACAUAUAUGUAAAAUUUGUGAACAAUGUUACUAACAUUUUAACAGAUGAAGAAACGACCAAAAUAAAAGUUUUAGAUCUUGAUGAGUUAUUUAACUUUGUUGUUGAUAACUUUUGCAGUUGAAAUC
rfam:Oryza nivara chromosome 4, whole genome shotgun sequence.